rfam:Drosophila persimilis strain MSH-3 cont1.019260, whole genome shotgun sequence.
GACUAGCUACACUAUGUGAGAGAGACGCUGCUACUAGCAAAUGUGAUAGUAUAACAUCGUGUGUAACUGAGUGGGUUUAGUACGUAUGCGUGAUACUCGUAAUCAUGAAUCGUGCAUGCUAGUGGGGUUUGACUCCACUAGUAUCUUGAAGAUUCUCCUUCCUCAGCGAUC